UUUUUUUUUGACAGCUACCUUUAACUUUGCUCUCGCCGUGGCAGCGGACCGAGCUCUACGCUAGGCUGGCUGUGAAUGGGUGGGGGUGGGAGGAGAGAAGGGAAAGUACGCCGCCGGGGGAGAGCCCUGCUUCCGAAUCCGCUUCUCCCCUCUACCCCCGUCCGGGGCUCUGGCCGUUCGUACUUUUCCUCUCCAUCAGCGCUGCUCCUCCACGACCGCACGACUUUGGGGAAGUAGCUGAGAGGAGCCCCCCGCGCCACUCGGCGAUCGCCUCCCUCCGUGCUCCGGGGCUGCUGCCCCGGGACAAGGAUUGCGAGGCGGUUUCGAAAUCCCGAGCACGCCGGAGACAGACACUCUGUCAUGCCCACAUGCUCUUUAAACGUCUCUGCGUGUGUAUGUUUGUGCGCGCGCGCGCGCUCCGCCUGUCCUGAUUCCGCUCGGCCGCAGUAGCUAGCUGCCGCGGCAGCGGAGGCGCUGACUCUUCCCCCUCCCCCUUUCGCCAGCACCCGCUCCCCCCCCUCCCCCCCCCGCCCCUGCUGCCUUUAUGGGAAACGGGCGAAAACACCGCGGCCGCUCAUCUGGUUCGGUAAACAGUUCCUGCUUUUAGGACUUGCAGCCCUGCCUGGGUGCCCCCCUCCUCUCCCGGAGCUGCUGGGAAAGGAGAACCGAGUUUCUAGAUCUGCCCAAGCUUGGAAGCGUCGACAAACCCCGAAAGGCUGUACCUGCGUAGCGUGUGUAGGGGAGGAGGCGGCGAAAGAACUCCUCUAAGCUAAGCCCCAAGAGCUGUGUGCUCAGAACAGGGGAGCCUAACCCUGGGACAGAAUUGGUUGGUUAGUGUACCUGUAGGAGUUGCCUCAGGCACAUGUAUUUCUACUUAUCUACUCAUGCUGCCUCAAGGCCAAGAAAAGAAACAGUUGUUUAAAGCUGAGUUACUGCAGUGCUCUCUGUUCCGUCUUUUAAUAACUGAAAAUAUUAGAGAGGCAAAUUUAUUAGGGCACAUAAGAAGAAAUAGGCAUAGGUGGGCCACUAUGAGAGUCUUUCAGAAAGAGUGAAAGACCUAGGAAAACUCUACUGAAGAAUUAUUAAAGUAAUUUUCUUUUUUUAGAAUUCCAAGUUAGAAAAGUAUUCCAACACAACUCGUAAAAUGGUGAAUUGAACAAGAUGGCCACCAAAGUCCCAGUUACAGUCACUCCUGUGAUUCUGUGAUCUGGAAUGACGCCCAGCAUCUUUGGAAGUUCUUACAGAAAUCUACCUCCGAGGGGACUGGACCAAAGGGACACUAGGAAAUCAUUACAUUAUCAGGGUUGUUUAAAGAGGAGGGAGAACCAGAGAACACAGAUGGGUAAAAGAGAGUAGAGAUGAAUUUGCUUAAUAAAACUAUUCCUUAGCA
rnacentral:lncRNA from 1 species